rnacentral:rRNA from 1 species
GUAGGGUGCAAGCGUUAAUCGGAAUUACUGGGCGUAAAGGGUGUGCAGGCGGCUGAGUAAGACAGAUGUGAAAUCCCCGGGCUUAACCUGGGAACCGCAUAUGUGACUGCUUGGCUAGAGUGCGUCAGAGGGAGGUGGAAUUCCACGUGUAGCAGUGAAAUGCGUAGAUAUGUGGAAGAACACCGAUGGCGAAGGCAGCCUCCUGGGACGCAACUGACGCUCAUACACGAAAGCGUGGGGAGCAAA